GGUGGUAUCGGCUAACGGUUAGGCCACAAGAUUCUCAAUCUUGCAAUCUGGGUUCGAUUCCCAGUACCACUA
rnacentral:tRNA from 1 species